UACAGAGGGUGCAAGCGUCAAUCGGAGUUACUGGGCGUAAAGGGCGUGUAGGCGGUUUAAUAAGUGAGAUGUGAAAUCCCUGGGCUUAACCUAGGAACUGCAACUCAUACUGUUAGACUAGAGUAUUGUAGAGGGUAGCGGAAUUUCCGGUGUAGCGGUGAAAUGCGUAGAGAUCGGAAGGAACACCAGUGGCGAAGGCGGCUACCUGGACAAAUACUGACGCUGAGGCGCGAGAGCGUGGGGAGCAAACAGG
rnacentral:rRNA from 1 species